AAAUCACACCUGCACACUGCAAGCAUUCCACAAAUAUAUAAUUUAGGCCACCUACAUGGAUCUAUCCUUCUACAAUACCCUAAAACGUCAAUUUAUUUAUAG